CCAUUGUCUGAUGGCUUGCACAUGCAUCAAGUAAUAGCUUAUCCAUAUAUGUGUGCAAAUGAGCCACCAUUCAGACCAAAUUAGUACACCUGAAAACAGAAGAAAAAGAAAAAAAAGGCCCUAGACCCACUGCACAAUAGCAUUUACAUCGCAACGAGCCAACGACUCCGACACCAUAGCAUUCACUCUCUUCGACACAGCCUCUCUCGCUCUCUCGACAACUCUCCUAAAACAGACAACUCUCCUAAAACAAACUCUUUCAAUAUGUUGUUCUUUUCUUCCCGACCCCUCCCCUCUCCGGGUCUCCUCAUCUCUACUGCACCUAAGAUUUCCCUAUCUCAGUUUCAAUAUCCAAAUCUCCUCAUCUCUAUUACACCUGAGAUCUGCCUCUCUCCAUUCCUCUCUCAAUUUCUACAUCUCACUCACUCCAGAUCUCAUCAGAAGAGAGACGUCGGGUAUGGGAGACAGGUAUGUGGGCACAAGACGGCGUUUGGAUCCGAAGGCUGGAGAAGCAAAGAGAAGCUGAGAUAGGUUUCCGAACCCGACCUCAGAUCUUCGGCCAUUGCCUCACUCGUGGAAGCCACAUGUCUAAUUAGGGUUUCGGGAAUUGGGGAAGCUGGACCCUGAGGAAUUGGGGAUUGUAGAGUUUGGGAGGAGGGGUCGAGGGUGUAGAAGAUAAGGUCACCGGAGGUGAUACAGAGGGAGGCGAGGGAGUCGUCGGGAGAAGAGGCGUGGAGGUCAUCGCGGCGGUUGAGGGAGAGGUGGAGAGAAGAGGGAGCGGCGGAGAUGGAUUCGGAGAGGGAUUGUUUGAGGUGGUGGAGAGAGCAGAGAUUCGGGACCUCGAUUCAAAGAGUCUGUUUGGACUCAAUAGCAGGGCAGUUAUCAUAUAUCUUUCAGAUUUUGUGUAAUUUGAAUUGGGUUUCUGGUUUUCUUGGUUGUAAUUUAAACAUCUCUUCUUGGAUCUGCCAAGAUUCCUCUACAUGUUGCAUUGGUUUUAGUUUCUUUUAGGCAAUUCUGUCUGAAGGUAGAUGUUUCUGUUAUCUCUGGGUGUUGUUUAGUGCAUAUUGUUGUAAUGGGUCCCUCCAGUUUCUCUGUCCCUUUUCUGGUUCUUGCUCGAGGCAUUGUGUUUUGUGAGUUUUGUUCUGUGAAACCCAAUAAGGUUUCUUUCCCUCACUGAUAGGAUUUGAUUUGAUUUGGUUUGGUUUUCUGGGUGUACUUCUUUUCCCAUUUUAGUUAUCUUCAAUUGUUGUGAACUGGAGAGAUUGGAGAAAAAGACCCCAAAAGAGGAGAUUGUGUGGAAGUUGUGAUCUGUGAUUGAAAGGACAGUUCUUGUGAGCUUUGAGAAGAUAAAAAAUUAUCCUUCAGGAGAAAGGAACAAAAAGAAGGAUAAGUUACAUUUUGUUGUACUUGAGCUGGAUGUUGGUGUCGGCUUGUGUAACAAAGGUCAGUGAGGUGUCUGAAUUUUACAGCUUCUCAAUUUUGUAUAUCUGGAGAAUGGAUAAGACCAUUUACAAUUGCCUGAAAUCACUGAAAUUGGUUUCAGAGGGUGUAGAGUUGUGGCAGUGAAAGAUUGUGUAUUGUGUACUCAAAGCUUGUUUCCAACAUUUACUGAAGGGCCUUGGAUUUGAAUUUUGGGGAAUCUGAUUUGCUUGAAGAAAAUUGAGUAGAUGUUUGGAAAAAGUUGGGAGUGAAAAUAACUGAUUUGGACAGAAGACGUGGAGAUGGCUGCAAAACUUCUGCAUUCUUUAGCUGAUGACAACCCAGAUUUGCAGAAGCAAAUAGGAUGCAUGAAUGGGAUUUUCCAAAUUUUCGAUCGACACCAAGUCCUCACUGGUAGGAGGAUUAGCCACCACAAGAGGCUUCCUCCAGGGAAUUUGCACUAUAGCAAUGGUGGCCUGGAAAGAGAGUCCAACAAUCCCUACCAUUGGCAAGCGGUGUGGGAUGCAACUGCAGCUGAUCCUAAAUUGCUGGUCUUUUUGAAAUCGUACAAGAAUUUCUUACACAUUGAAUCUGGGUAAACACGGUAUCGAGAAACAACCGUUUGAGCUCCCUGAUUUCAUUGCUGCAACUGGUUCUGAGAAAAUUAGACAGAGACGUUCCUCAAUAGGAUAGGUCCUGAGGGGGAAUCUGCAUUAUGGAGACUUGCCUGACACACAUUAAAUCAUCAAUGAGGAUCACCAUGGACCUCUCUUUAGUUCGCAACAAACGCUGAAGUUGAUGAACUGCGUAAUGAACUCGCAAAUUAUGAGGUGAAGAACCUGCUAAAGUUGGGAAGUGUGCUGGGAUGAAUCAUUGUUGGUCCUUUUUGGGUAUAUGCAAGGUCUGAAGUGCAUUAGGCAAGAUGUUGGUCUUUUUUGGGUUGGCCUGAAUUUCAUUUCUUCUAUAGAUGUGAUUAUGUACAGAUGAGACUAUUUUAGCCACAUUUGUAGAUGUUUUUUUUUUUUUGUAUGAGAGACCAGUAGGUGUGAUCUUUUCUAUUUUUUUGGAUACAAUUAGCAUUAUUAGAUCCAUUUAUGGGAUUAUAACAACUAUUUAUUAUAAGAAAAUUAUUGUUCAUUUGGUCAA